UGCUGAAUAUUACCGAAGCUAUCACUAAAGAUUAUGUUCCGAUUUCCCACUAAAAUAAGUUAUGACUUGCCCUCUUACAAGCUUACAAUAUAAAACUACGUCAUAAUUAUUUGUAAAAAAAAAAAAAAAAAAACAUUAUUUGAAGCUUUGUGGAGAUGUUACGACUACACAUUUGUUAGUCGUUGUACGACCUGCUGAUUUACAUGGCAACAAGCCUUUGGUAUUGACAUUUGAAAGCGCACCAGUUUGUUUCCUUCUAUCUAAUCUUUUCUCACCAAAUUGAGGUUGAUGUCGUUGUACUAUGCACACUUCUAAUAUUAUGUAGUAAGCCUACUGAUGCAUGCAGCUCUUCAGAUAUAGAGUGUCUGCAUUGAAAAACACCAUUGGGGACUCAUGUAUUCAUUUAUUUAACAACAUCUCGCACAAUAUCCGCUCCUGCAACAAAACGAAUGGAAUAAUACACAGGCUACGUAUUACAAUAGCGUUACAUGUAAGUACUAACGACAGCAUUUAAUAAUAAUAUAAUACAAUGUCAACACAGUAUCAUACAAUGAAAAACGGUGUUCAAAAUGGUAAAUGCCAAAAAUAAUGCAACGAAGACAACAAAUCACUUCCAAAAACACGUUUCAUAAAUAAAACAGUGGUGCAAAACAUUACUUCUUUAUUCUAACAACGUGACACGAAUAAAAGAAAAUAUAUCCACUAAUCUACUAUUACGUAGUGUUAAAUCUACUCUUAAAGAGUACAUAUGGUCCCAACUGGACUCAUAUGUACACUGUUAAGAGAUGAAUUAAACUGGGCAUUUUACUGUGUACUGCUAGGCUAAUACUACUACUACUACUACUACUACUACUACUACUACUACUACUACUACUACUAAUAAUGCAUAGCAUUUUAAAAGGGUGAGCCAAAUCAAGAAGUUACAUUGUUCAGUUAUUUAUUAGGCCAAGCCGGAAAAUUCAGCAGGGGGUUUGAAAUCAAUUCUUCUCUCUCAAGUAUCUGUAUCAGGACUGCCUCGCCUGCAAAAGGACAUGCCAGUGGUGAUCAGGUCAUGGAACUGAUUUCAUUUUUACAAAAAGGCUUUGGCUUGGGAGAAUAUUAUGUAGACAUUCAAGCAACUUUGAGGAUAAGAGCGCAGGAAAAUAAUUCUUGAACCCGUUGCAAUCAGCUCUGCCCGGCUAUCUAUGCCUUGAACCUGCCGAGUUACGCAUAAGGAGAUAAGAUGGAGUAGAAAUAAUAUUUCACAAUAACAAUAUCAAUACGAAAACUGCCUGCAAAAAAGAAACGGUUUUUGGACUGUGCAGUUGAAUUGUGAGCAUGCAAUCCGGCAACAGUCUCUUGCCCUUCCGCAAUUCGAGGUGUAAUGUAAUGUGUUAAACGUGGCUGCAUUUAGUCGACAAAUAACCAAUGCAAAUGCACUUGGCUUUAUAAAACUAAGCAUGUCAUUAGAAUGUCCAAAAGAUAAAUCGAAAUUCCAGUAAACCUAAGCUAUUCUAAACGCUAAACGUAAACACGUGCCUCGGUAAAUGCGGAGGAAUACUCAAUGUUAGUCAUGAUACUCAGAAGUGCUUUUAAUAGCACACUCAUCGAUGUCUUUGUAGAAUAAUUAUUUUUGAAAGUGUCGCCGCUAUAAAAUCUUUGCACUCUGCUAAAGUCAACAAUGGCGCAGUUAGAGCCGAAAUAAAUGCCUUGAUGAUUCCAACCGUCCGCAGAAGCACUCUCGGAAAACAUGCUAAUGGUUCUCGUCGCUAUCCAGAAUGAGCUACAGCAACGGCAUCGGGGAUCUGUGGAGGGGACGCGUGAUGUGCAGUCUUGACCCACCGAACGACGUUGCGCUCCUCAACUUUCUGUGAUAAAUCAGAUCUGGCUUUAAGGGGUCAAUAUCGCAGAGAAUCUCGUGGCUAGCUGUCAAGUUCAUUUUUAAAAGAGGUUUAUCUGAGUGAAACCAAUCAGAGUAGUUAAAUAAAAAAUGUUCUCUCAUUUAAACAUUAUAUUUAAUCUUAUCCAUAUUUUAAAUAAUAUCAUAGUACACUAGUAUACAUAGGCAUCUUCCUAACCAAACUGCACUUCACGUAACCACAUAAACAUCUGAUUUGAAAAUGGGUGCAGAAUUAUUUAAAUUUUUUUCCACUAAUUUCCGUGACUGUGAAAAUUAUUUUGUCAAAUUAACUGAAAAAGUAACCAUUAUUACAAUAAAAACAAUUCUGAAUUGAAUUUAAUCUGAAUUGAGCCAUGAUUUGACCCACUGGUACCUUGAAGUGGGAAUGGCAAACUCAUUUUGACUCGAAUGAGAUGCAAUGAUUUGAGCCGUGACAAGGGAUCACCAAAGCUUCUUCACAGUCUGAAAAUUCUUGCAAAAACACAGGAGGACUGUGAGUAUCUCAGAGUGAUAAAAACACACUCAUUCUACACAUACCCGUAAGAUCCUGUUAGUCGUUGGGGUUGUUAGAAACAGAGCAGGCAGUGACAGUUGCUGGGGAGUUACUUUAAACACGGUGGGGUAUCUUGUUCGUCCAAGAACGGUUCCUCUGAAAAUUUGACGUGCUGCCUCUUGAGUAGAGCUUUUAAGGCAUUUCAAUGUUUUUAAGUGGCAGUAAAACAAAAUGAAGAAAACAUUUGAACAGGAACAACCCAUAAAAGUGUCAUUUUAUAAUAGAUCUCAAACAGUUAAACAUCUGUUUCCAUAGCCCUGAAACUGAAGGCAAGCCUGUUAACUAUAUUUAUAUCUACAUCUACAUGGAACAAACUUCUGUGCUUUAAAUGCUCAUGGAAUGCUUUGGAAUCUUGCAACAGUCAUCUUAAAAUAUUUUGCCGCUUAGUUGGUGUCCUUCUAUUCAUAACACUACCCCAGGAUAUAACAGACAAUGGAUACAUACCUUUUUGGUUAUUUACAUAAGUAUUAGGUCAUUUGAUGUUUCAUUAUCCUACUCUCACCUGAACUAUGGGUCUGUUUUAUGGGAUAACUGGUAUGAGGAGAUUCGGAACCACUUCCUGCAGUAAAAGGGACAUGUCUCCAUCUGCUUUGGAUUUUCUCGAAUGUGGCCAGGAAAGAGCCCCCAGAAAAAACCCAUGAAAUGGAGAAAAGGGAAAAGUGAAAAGGGCAGGAAUGAGGGAAUGAGGGAAGAGGGGUGGGAAUGAGGCUGAAGUCACUCUCGCAGCUGGGUGUGAAAUUCCUGCCUUUCACUCUCUGACAGGUGGGUGCAUCGGCCUGUACACACUGGGACACAGCCCCAUUAGAAUGCUGCAUGUCAACACUGAUCCAGCUCUGGAUAGACAUCCUGCGAGUUUUGUUAAAGACAUAAAAGCACAUAGGCAGACUUCUAGCGAUGCAUUUAGAGUACGGUAGAGAAAAUAUCUUUCAUUAUCUGCGGGAAAACUACACUAUGCUGCUAAUUAACUGCUGAUUAGACCCUGGAAGUGAAAAAAUAUUAAUCAAAGGCAGAGAUGGAAGGUACAGUGGUCAGAAGUCCUGCCAUGUGUUUUUUCCACCCUUCCACCCCAGCUGAUUUCACUAAUUAGUUCCACCUCCUGGCUGAAGAAUUGUACUAAUUGGAUUGGAAAAAAAUACUUUACCGUCUGAACCUGGAUUUUCCACCUCCGAUCAAAGGUGUAUUUUUAAGAGUAGGCCUAUUGUACUGACAUGAUGGUAGACAUCAGCCAUCACAUGUAAACCUUGCAACCCAGAGAAAAACGCUGGCCUCACGUUAUGGCCCAAAGGUCAAGACAAAGACAAAGGUCAAUGAAGGCUGCUCUUCAUUACAAAAUGUGAGGAGCAGAGAAGAGGGAAAAAAAGGAGAAGAGACACCAUUAAAUUAUAUAUAUUAGUUAUUGUAUUUCAUUUGUUCAACAAAAUUUGUUGUUUAUCAUGCCAAUAGAGGAAACUGAGCUGUUGAAUAAUAGAGCUCUUCUGCAUUUCUCUCACAUAGAGGACAGACGAACUUGCACUGUGUCCAGCUAUCAGAUCAUUUGAAUGACCAAUUGAUCAAUUAAACGACAUAAUCACAUUUCAUUUGAAAAGUGCCCCAAUGAUCCUGUAUGAUUGACUUGUGUGUUGAUCAUAUUCAAGGAAUCAUAUCUGGGUAUGAUGUACAGGAUACUACAGUGAAGACAGAUUAAUCAGAAGUAUGAAAAUGAUGGCAUCUAUUAAAUAGGGGACAAAAAUGUGACAUUUUCCUGCAUGGAUCUGCAGCAAUGCAACGAUUUUUGUAGUGUUUAUGACAGAAGUGUUUUAGUUUGGUAAAAAAAAGACAGACCAUUUCACAGCACAGAGAUACAGGUGAUGGAAAUUGGGGUGGUCUCUGGUGUAGUGCUGGGCGGAUAAAGCACUUACUGAGCCACAGUGAGGAGGGUGGAUUAUUGUCACGCACAGAUCCCAUGGAGUCAGAGAUACAGAGCCUGAUAAUGGGCCAGAUCAGCCAAGGAGCAGGAGGCUGUAUAAAAUCCAGAUUGUGAAAGCCAAAAUAUAGAUUGAAGCACUACUGGAAAUUAAAAUGGAGCAAUUGUUUGUGUGCAUGUUUCCGUGUGUGUGUGUGUGUGUGUGUGUGUGUGUUUGUGUGUGUGUUUGUGGGCUUUAUUUCAAGAUGUGCGAAAGAACCGAAACUAAGCUGAAGAGUCCCAGCUCAUUUUCUGCGCAGAAAUGUAUUUGAUGCACAUUUGAGGUGAAACUGCGCAGACUAAACCGCAGAGGACUGACGCGUUAGUCCGUUUCACCAGACUGAGUUCCUCCCAGGCACUGAGCCCUCCGGCUCCUGUACUUCUGCUUUCCAACCGAAGGCUCUGAAAUCAACAGUCACAUCUGAAGCCGGCGGGAAAAGCCAAAAAAAUAAUAUUUGCAUACCCUUCAUCUUUUUCUUGCUGUUACAAUAACACGGUUGAUGCUUCCAAUUAAAAUUCAGCAUCUGUAAGUAAACCUGGUGAAAGUAUACAGAUGGACAUAUUAGGCAUAUAUGCAGCUUAUACUCUAUGUCUAUAAAGUGACACGUCCAACCAACCCCUUUAUUAUGACAUUUUCAGUAAACCACCACAUAUAGCAUUUUUUAACAUUGACUACUGCCGGACAAACCUAUCUUUAUUGGAUGUGUCUCGCUUUGCUUUCUUUCACACAAUCAUGGAGUCUAGACUCCUAAUGUGACCCAGGACACUUCUCAUGUGCCUGUAGACCCCUGAAUCCAGCACUAUUCUCACACAGAACUAUGCUUGAAUCGCUUCAAUAAACAUCACAUGGUAUAUCUGUGGUUGUGUAAAUUGUGAUAUUUGCAGGUGGUCACUGUGUAUAUCAGUCUCUGCUAACCAAAUAAAUGGCAGUGUAUUCCUAUAUCCCAAUACCUUGGUAUAAUCAAUUUAUUGCACAUUUUUACAGAAAAUGUUUAUUUACAUUAUAUAUGUAACAUCAGAUAUGAAUGGUGAAAUAUAUUUUGUAAUGAUAUGUAUACAACACACAAACACACACACACAGUAUGCAUAUAAAUAAUUUCUGUUUGGAGUGAAUGUGUGAAAACAUUGCGUUACUUAUUUGUGAGGGGUGCCACAUCACAUCUCUGCAGUCUCAUAAGACGACGGUCUAAUUGAUUGGCAUAUCAUUCAGCCAAUUGGCAGGUGAAAUGUAUGCCUGACCAUAAAUUUCCAAUAGGGCUACCUGGGUCAAAUCAGAGUAUGCCUCACUAAACUGCAUUUUCACACUCAGUUUAAUACCAGCUGAUUAACAGUUAACAAGAGGAAGAAAGUUAAUUAAAAACCUCAACACCUCCCAACCCCUCCUCACUCCACCCCCAUUUGCUGCUCAGGCAUCAAAUUAAAUUCCCUCCACGCAUUUGAGCUGCCAUUAAGGCUUUCAUUAAUUCAGAUAGGCUAUCCUCGAACAAAAUGAAUCCUCCGUUUAAUCCCGUACAAAUGGCUGUGGCAUUUAUCAAACGCAGAUUGAUGCGCGUUUGAACCGUGCUCUUAAACCUGGUAGGGGUUUACGGCACAGUUGAGCAGAUUACGCUUAAACGGCGUUAAAGCUGCGACGUCCCCCCUGGACCGCUCUCGCGAUGCCGACGGCUUUCCCGGCACCGGUUCACCGGUGACAAUGACGGAACAUCGAACGUAAUUUAAUUUUCGGUCAGAUUAAGGACGAGGGCCAUUGUAAAGGAUGCCCCCCUCCAUCAACACAGAUGUAUGUGCCAUGAUUGGAUCAACUUGUUCCCCGAUUAGCAAAAGAAAGACCCCCAGAAGAGACGUUGAACGAACGACAAGGAUGGGCAGAUCAGUUCGGGAGAUAAUGGUCUUUCCCAUAUUGGGAAGCUCCUACUCUCCAUCAACGGUCAACCAACCUUUCACAUUCCAGUGUACCGAAGUUAACUUUCCCUUAUUUUGUGCUAAAUAGUAACAAUGGAAUACAUUUAAGAAUUUGGUAGAUAGGUCGAUUUCUGUUAUAUUUGUAGCUAUACUUGUUUGAAAUAUUGCUAAAGUAAUUUUAAACAAUGUGCAACAUACUAAUUUAUUUAUUAAAAAUGCAGUAUUAAUACAUCAAUAAUAAAUAAGGCAAUACAGGGCUACACCAGAUUUUAGGCUUCUAUAAAAAAAAAAACAUAUUCUUUCAUUUAAAAAAAUGUGUUUACAUCAGGAUUACCAGGUAUUUUUAGAGUGUGGGAGUAGCUGAGGGACAGUUAAUUGUAUUUUCAGGUGACAGUUCAAGGUCGGCCCUGGGUUCACCAUUUGCGUCAUUCAUGCGUGAAACAGCUGGCAGGUAAGUACAUAUAUGCAAAUCAUUAGCCAUCAAUUCAGCGACAUGCAAACUAGAUCAUCAUUCUGAACCAACAUAGCUGAGUGAGGCUGACACACAGUAAAAUGUACAGUGUUGGAGCCACUCUGUUAGUGUUGAAUUAACACUGGACAUUUUACUGUGUGGUCUGUGGUGGAAGUACAGAACAAACAGCAUUACCUUACAUUAUACCGUCAGGGAAGGCCAAUGAUUAAAACUGGCCUUGUGGCUUGGGAACCUCAGGUCUUGACAUAUAUUUUUUAUGUUCUUAAUAAGCAAUACUGUAAAUAUCAGCGUGUCUGGAGGACUGUAAGCUGAAUGUAGAGAUAUUGAAUGUGAUUAUAGAAACAGAUUUAAAUAGUUUUGCUAGUUUUUAUGAAAUAUAGUGAUCAUCCCUUUGUGAAGGUGGAUGUGUGUGUAUAUACUGUAAGUGUGUAGGGGGAUUGGGAGGAUUGAAGAUGUGAAAACCCUGAAGGAUGUGACCUGCCUCUGGAAGAAGAGGUCAAGCCAAUGUGUUUUAGGCCCGCUGUUGGGUUAAACCAUUAGUAUGUACUAAUUAAAAGAGAACAGAAUCAAUAUUUUUCUGAUGGACUCAAAUUCAACCAGCUUUUUCCUUUUUUUAACAUUAUUUCCUGGGCAUUAAAAUAAUAAGCUCUAACAGUAUUAAUUUAUCUCUUAACAGAUAACAUUUGAUCCCAUAUUCCAGAGUGGGGCCAAAUGUUAUCUGUUAAGAGUUGAAUUAACACUCUUAGAGUUGAAUUAACAGUGGAAGUUUUACUGUGCAUUUAACACAGUUGCACAUAUUAAAUUAUGCUGAAAAUUAUGAUGUAGCCUUUGCUGUUUAUACCUGGCCUUCAGCUCAGUGUAUGGUCAAUGUUUUAUUGUGAAGUCAUUGUUGCUUUGUAUAUUCAGAGACCUAAUCUACAGAAAGACAAAAACAGCCAAAACAUUUUUAGGUUCCAAUCAAAUUACUGCUAUUUUGCAGAAGGACCCUUCAUACUAUACUUUAGGAUUUCAUAUAACACAUAACAGCAUGUGGAAUCCAACUGAAGUUUGCAUCCAGAUGAUCCACUGAUGUGCAGCGUGGCAUAAUUGUGUGGGGUGGCAUGUUCAUAGGAGGCAAACGAAUAACAAUAUCUUGGCGACGCAGGGCGGUCAUCAUUAUUCAUGAUGCAGCACUGCUCUGCUGACUAAAUGCAUAAUUUGCAAUGCGGAAAAUCCUCCUGCAUGUAUCCAAUAACAAAUGUUUGUUGACUGGAAACCAUGAGGUGGGACUGAGGGGUUGUGUGUUGUUUGUGCAUGUGUGUGUGUGUGUGUGUGGUAUGUGUGUGUGUGUGUUUGGUAGGGGAUGGGGGGUUGCUAUAAUCGCUAGGAAACAUUUUACUGAACAUUUGGUGAUAAAGGUGGACUACCCCUGGGAUUAAAGAGAUUAAUUCAGCAUCCUGACACAAACUCUCCAGUCCUUUGACAGCUUGGAGCUGAAGCAGAAAUGCCAGUUCUCCUGGGAACAGAGGGAGAUAGCUGGCUCUUUUUCCGGACUGUUUGCUCACUGGCCCUGAGAGCAAUCUCCCUCGCAAAAUGAAAUGCAGGGACACAGACAAUGUACCGAGGAGAGAAUGGGAGAGAAUGGGAGACAGGGAAUGAGCAGUUUGGGCUGUUUGCUCAGCAGAAGGAGAGCCACAAUGGAGGGCCAAUGACUUUCCCAUGCAUCAAGCGGAGCGUCUUAGACUCGCCUUUGUUGUGGGGGGUCCGUGUCUGUUCCCUGUCUCUCACACUCCCUCUCCAUCUCUCCAUCUCUCUCUCUUCCUCUCUCUUUCUCUCACUCUGUCCCCCUGUCUGUCUCUCUCUCUCACUCUCUGGUCAGGGAUAAGAAGCACAGCUGCCCUUUACUUUUGAUUCCCAUUGAUCCUGCUACUGUAUGCUCAUUUAUCCAGCUUAAACCUUUGCAUCAUCUGCUCCAUGUUUCCCGCUCCGCGGCAUCACCUCUCUGUGCUGUCUGUAGUUUGCAUGUGCUUAGGUUUGCAAGCAUUGCCUUUAACCCUUUGUAGAGUAGGUUUUUUUGGAAUGUUCUUCACCAUUUUAAGUCAGUGUUCUAGAACUCCAUUGAUUUCAGUUAAAGUUACCAGUCGCAAUUGUUACGUCAGCAUUAGAAUGUUCAGUUAAGAACAUUCUUAUCAUAUAUUUGUGAUCUUAAUCCAGAUGAAUAAGGUUUGUGGAUGGGGGCAGAGGGGCAUCACAUGAUCUUAGAAGUCAUCCGCAGUGUUCAGAAAUCAAGUGUGAACGCAAUCAUGAUGCUCAGCUAUUCCUUUGUUACCAUGCUACCUCAUUUUCGCUAAAUUGCAAAAGAACAGUCAUUUGUUUGAUUUAUUUUACUCAUUUGUGUAUCUUAGUGAUGUGAUAGAUAUGUUAAAAUACAUCCUUCACGUCAAGCUAAUAUACAUAAUUGGAAAACUGCAAUAAAAUAUUUUGGUUAAAAUGAAA